GUUGUGUGCCAACUUACAAAAGUCUUUCAGAGUGAACUCCAGGACUGAAAGAAAAACACACCUGGAGAUAUAUGUACAUUAUGUGUGGAUAUUUUUGGUUCAGGAUAAAUGUGUAAUGGAUUAUUUUAGGAGAUAUCACAGCAUGGAAAAAUGGCCAAGUCUGUCUUACUAGAUUAUGUCUGAAGCACUGAACUAGUAUCAUGUGAUUAAUCCAACCAAUGACAGGUCGGGAUAGACUUGAAUUUGUGCAUCACAUGAACAGAUAUUUGACUUAUGUGAUGUCAGAUUCAGGCCAGAAACUUAACAAAAACAUCAAUUCUGACUGCUUAUUAAUUAGAACAGGACCAGGUCCUGCUUCACCAUUUAAGUUAUCUAUAAUUGUAAGUUAUGCAUUAGCUUGUAUUUACAGAUUUGUUAGAGGUAUGUACCUUAUAUAAUUGGUACAUUACCCAAUGUUAUUGCUGUGUUACCUGUGUAUCAAGGCUGAUGCUUGGUCUGUCCCUCAGACAUGUAGGGGUUGGUGCCACUUUAGAGACUUGAUCUGUGUUGGGUCGGUAGAUUGUAGGGGGAAGGGAGACUUGAUUUGUGUGGGGUCAGUAGAUUGUAAGGAGGGGGGUCAGAGAUAGGUGGGUAGGGCUUAUGUAUUAUUCUGUAUAAAACCUUAUUUGUACCUUUUAGUGAGCAAGUGUGUGUCUGGUAUGAAAGACUUGACUUUUUGGAGGGGAAAAAAAUAAUGCAUCAAUACUUGUAGGAAAGGUUCAAGUUAAAUGUGUGGUGUUGUUUUGCUGGUUUUUAAUUAUUUCAAGUUGGUAUUUUAAGUUACAUGACUGUGUAACAAUUUAUAUAAAGACAUAGAAAUUGAACAUACUAUAAUACAGAUAUUCACUGUGUGUGACAGAAUGUAACUCUAGUUCCAUUAGGGGCAUCCUUUAAGUUUGUAGCAGAUGUACUAUUGACUGAUACCAGAGUAUUCUCUCACAGGGAAUUGGACAGAGUAUUUCCUCACAGGGAAUUUGGACUGUACAUCUCAUUCCUGGAGAAGAAUCUUUUAUCAUGUAUAUCUUUAUUGACCGUUUGAUUUUACAUGUAUGUGCAAUUGAAUGAUGAUAAAUAUUUUAAGU
rnacentral:misc_RNA from 1 species